rnacentral:rRNA from 1 species
UACAGAGGAUGCAAGCGUUAUCCGGAAUGAUUGGGCGUAAAGCGUCUGUAGGUGGCUUUUUAAGUCCGCCGUCAAAUCCCAGGGCUCAACUCUGGACAGGCGGUGGAAACUACCAAGCUGGAGUGACGGUAGGGGCAGAGGGAAUUUCCGGUGGAGGCGGUGAAAUGACGUAGAGAUCGGAAAGAACACCAACGGCGAAAGCACUCUGCUGGGCCGACACUGACACUGAGAGACGAAAGCUAGGGGAGCGAAUGGG